CGUAGUUGAUGUGGGAUCCGGAUAAGGAAGUCCCCUGAGGCAGCGGCCGCGGCAGUCCGGUGGAAAAUUAACUUUGGGGAAAACAAGAUUAUAAAACUGGGGCAGGGGACGAGUCCAGAGACCGGCAGGCUGGGCUUGGCCCAUUGCGCCCAGCCCCCACACCCACGCUGGGACGUGGUUUUCAGCCUUUGCGGGAAUGAAGCAUUGGCAGGGAGGGAGCAUCCUUGCUCUUCCGACCAGGAAAGCCCCUCCCGGGGUGUGGGUUGCUGCUAUUAGAACCCAAGACAAGCUUCAGUGAGCGAAGAAACAAGGGACGCCCCCUCUGACCGGACCUUCUCCCUUUUUUAUUUUUAUUUUGUUUUUAACUUGUGGGUGGGAUGCCCGCGCCCUUCCGAUGGUUCCCAGGAUGACCAUAGUCAGCCCGGUGGGCGUCGGAACUCCAAGCUGAUUUGUCCUUUCCUAGCGUAGUCCUUCCUGCGUUCUAGAAAUUCCUUCUCCAACCCAUCCUGCACUUUCCCACUUCCAAGCCUUUGCUAACGCCAUUCCUCCAUCUCCCAUCUAUUGAAGUCGCUCCCCUUCCCUGAAAGCUCGGCUCCAAUUCUCGUUUCCAGGUGAAGGAAGCCUUUCAAGCUUUUCCGAGUCACCGUGACGGGAACAAACAACCGCACCGCAUCUCCCUGGCACCCUGGCGGUGUAUUCCAUUGCCUUCCGAGGCUCUGGGGCCACUCUCCAGUGAGACGUUCUGCAUCUCCUGCAAAUGGGCUUUUACACUGAUUAGGAGCCGCAGAGUUUGCUUCAUUUCUUGGCGAUAAUGAGGAAUAAAGGAGGAGGAAGAGGAAAAAGAGAAGGAGGAAAAGGAGGAGGGGGAGGGGGAGGAGGAGGAGGAAGAAGAAGAGGAGGGGGAAGGGGGAGGAGGAGGAAGAGAGGCAGCUCCCUUAACAUCCAGGAACCUGCCAGAAUCCCUUCCUCUGACAGCUGGAGGCUAGCAGCAAAGCCUAUACAGACUUUCAAUUAUUUGGAAAGUUGAUUACCCGUCUACAUAAAGCGCUGGCAGUCCCUGUAAUCUGAAAGGGUCUCCUCCAGGAGAUCUCAAAGGGAACUCUGUUUCCCUAGGUGUCACAUCCUGUAUAGCUGAUAUCCAAGGUUUGAGAACUGCCGUGCCCCCAAAGAGACACAUUUAGACAGAUUUAGGCCUAAUGGAAACAGCUAAGGGGCAUAGGCUGAGCAGGGAGUCAGGAAGACCCGAGUUCAAAUGCAGCCCUUGACACCUAUUAACUGUGCAGCCUUGGGUUAAGUUACUUCACUUGUUUGCCUCAGUUUUUCUAAAGUAUAAAAUGGGGAUAAUAAUAGCUACUUAUUAACUGUGAAGCCCUGGGUAAGUUAGAUACUUAUUAACUGUGCAGCCCUGGGUAAGUUACUUCAACUCUGUUUGCCUCAGUUUCCUCAGCUGUAAAAUGGGAAUAAUAAUAGCAGUCCUAGAUACUUGUUAGCUGUGCAGCCCUGGGUAAGUUACUUCAACUCUGUUUGCCUCAGUUUCCUCAGCUGUAAAAUGGGAAUAAUAAUAGCAGUCCUAGAUACUUGUUAGCUGUGCAGCCCUGGGUAAGUUACUUCAACUCUUUGCCUCAGUUUCCUCAGAUGUAAAAUGGGAAUAAUAAUAGCAGUCCUAGAUACUUGUUAGCUGUGCAGCCCUGGGUAAGUUGCUUCAACUCUGUUUGCCUCAGUUUCCUCAGCUGUAAAAUGGGAAUAAUAAUAGCAGUCCUAGAUACUUGGUAGCUGUGCAGCCCUGGGUAAGUUACUUCAACUCUUUGCCUCAGUUUCCUCAGCUGUAAAAUGGGAAUAAUAAUAGUCCCUACCUGGAAGGGUUGUCCUGAGGCUCAAAUGAGAUGAUAUUUGUGAGGUGCCUGGCACACAGUAAAUCCAAUGUAGGUAUUAGCUGUUGCUAUUAUAAAUUUCCUACAGCAAGAGCUUCACAAAACUGAAACGGCUGCAUCGUUGAGAGGUUGGGAGCGAGUUCGAGCUCUGCACCGAUAGGUGAUCGGUGUUGAGGGGUGGACCAGCCUGGAUAGUGUCCAGAGUUCCUUCCAGGUCUGCAUUCUAAGGCUGUCUGAGUGCUGACAUCAGUUCCAUUAUUUUUGCAUUUCGUGGUGAUAGAGUCGCUUUUCUCUUAAAGCGGUGGAGGGGAAGGAAGGCCGGGGCUGGGCUUCUCUGCUCCGCUGUUAUUCUUCCAGAUUCCUGCCCUCUCCCAGAAGUGUGGGGUAGGAGAGUCCAGGGCAACGGAGAGGAGUCAGCAGAAUCCCGAUCCCCAGAAGGAAUGUCUGAGAGCAUUCUUGGAAUUCUCCUUGUCUAGCCACUCCACAGAUGCCCGGCCCAGGCCAGACUCCAGGGGGUGAGCCCCAAGACAGGCCAGGGAACUUUGUCCCGACCACCCCAGGAGCCAAUGAGAUGUUAGGGAGAGGCGACAAUAAACCAGGUGGAGCCCUCUGGAGCACCAAGCCUGGUGGGCAGGCUGCCAGCUGUGUUUAGACUUCCUCAAGGGCAGAGUCACAGAUCUGGCUGGAACCCUGGACAUCGAGGAGUUCAGUCCUGGCAGAAUCUUUCUUCUGAAAUCUUACCAGUCAAGUGGGAGAUAGUUCUGGUUCUGGACAGCACAGAUGCUCCACUUCAUUCUUCUCUCUGAGAGCUCCGGGACCUUCUAGACCCAAACUGGUGAACCUUUGGCACACAUGAAGGUGCAUGUCAGAGAAGGCUGCUUCCCUUCCCCUUCUCUACCACGCCUGAGGACAUUUCUUACAUCACUUACCCCUCUGCCCAGCAGUCCAAUGGAGAAAUCAAAGAGGCCAGCUCAUCUGAUAAAGGGAUCAUGGAAUCAUCUACUUAGAAUUGGAGCAAACGUGGAAUCCCAAGCACUUCACUUUCCUAAAGAGGAAACAAAGUUUCAGUGAUAACACCAGACAAGUAGCCUUGGAUGAGGAAAGAACACCCAAGAGGUUUCAGAUAUUAAAAUGUAUCUGGCUAGCCUGUCUAUGACUUCUGCACCCCGGGGUCAAGAAGCACAAAAAGUCUGAUGACUUCCCCAUAAAAGGUGGUGCAAUACUUGAAGGCAGGUACUAGUUUCGCUCCUGUCUACUUUUAUUCAGUCCAAAAGUACUCUUUCUAAGCUGACAUGAUCUCUGAGCCCUUUACCAUCUUGGUUACUUCAAGACACUUUAGUGAUGUCCCUUUCCCUUUCCUUCAUUCCUUCUAUGUUAAAAUAAAUACAAUAUUUAUGUUUUCCCUCUGUGUGACUUUCCUUCCCCCAUCCAAAUUAUAUUUCCAUAUGUCUAGAAAUGGAAUACAACUAUCUCUCUCUCCCUCCCUCUCUCUCUCUCCCCCCCUUAUAUACACAUACACAUAUAUAUGCAUGUAAUAUGUUCACAUAUGUAUCACAUAAAAAUGCACAUAUAGCUUUAUUUAAAUUUUUGAUGAUCUUUUUCUUUUUUUUUUAAACCCUUACUGCUGGGAGCCAUUAAAGACCAUACUGUUUGACAUAGUCUACGUGGAAACUGGGGACUGCAAAGCAGCCACCAGGAAGGAUGGAAACACCCACUGAAACCCCCCCUAAGUAACUUUCCUUAUUACUAUCCCCUUAUUAUUGGAAUUACUAUGAUUAUUUUUCUUACUUAGUCCCAGGAAAAAAAAAGAUGAGAGCAACAUGCUUGCAGGGUUAAUACAGAUGCCCCACUCUGUCCCUCUAGGAUAUUACCAGGAGAGCCCACUUACAAAAUUAAACCUAAGGAUUCUUAUAUACCCACUUAGAUAGGACCCUCUUUUCUAGGCAUAAAAACUUCUGGCAAGUCUGUGCUCUGAAUUCCCUAACCUAUAUCUGGGUCAUGUUGAUUCUACCCACUGAUCCUGCCCUUAGCAACAAUAUUUCAUAUCUCUCUAGGCUUCCUGUCUGUUGUUGGGUUCCAUGGAAACAUGUAUGUUGAGAAUGAAACUGUGUGCCAAGUAGAUAUAUGAUCAUGAGGGUAUAAAAUAAAGCCAGGCCUCAGCCAGGAUGGAGCAGUUUAUCCUGUGAAACCUGUGCUAUGGGUUUAAUGCAAAAGCUGUGUCCCAUCCAUCAUUUUGCUGACCCCAACCCCUGUGGGAGGCUGGCCCACCCCACAGCACCUUACCUUCUGUCGUGGUAUCAAUAGUGUGUAUUGGUUCCAAGGCAGAAGAGUGAUAAGGGCUAGGCAAUGGGGGUUAAGUGACUUGUGUUAAGAUUAAAAUUUUAGGCCAAACUGUGGCAGGUAAAAAUUAGUUUUACUCUAGAAGUAUUAUAUUUUUAGAGAUUUAUUUAAGAUUAAGAAUUUAAGAAAAUACAAGUAAGAAAGCAGGUGCCUAGGUGGGCCGAGAGGCCCAUUCAACCUCAUUUACAUCAUGAGAGACAUGUCUGCUUGGAAGCGGAAACAGGAAAGAGAGAAAGAACCAUAGGUGGACACUCUUUAAAUAAUAAUUUGUUCUUGACCCAGGUGAGAAUCUCAGUGAGAUUAGAGGGCAUCUUGGGAACUAGAGCAAGGACUUCUAGGGAUUGGAGUCCGGGGUUCAAGUCUCCAUUUUUAAACUUGCCCAGGGUCAUCAGCUGGGAAGUGUCUGUGGCCAGAUUUGAUCCUAGGACCUCCCAUCUCUAGGCCUGGCUCUCAAUUCCCUGAGCCACCCAGCUGCCCUCAUUGGUAAGCAGUCUGAUGGAGAUUUUCCAUGCAUAAUCACGUAGCCAUAUUGUGGAAGAGAUCUCAAAUGAACAAAAAGAAGAGAGUGAAAUUUGGCAUGUUUCAGUCUGCAUUGGGACUCCCUCAGUUCUCUCUCAGAUGAGGGCAGAUGGCAUUUUUCAUUGAGGCUCACAUCCCCAAUGAGAACUCCCCUUUAUAGUCAGGCAAAACAAAAGGCUCUGAGCCAAAUCCAGAAAUAUAGGCUUCAUUUGGCACUGCCCACCUUGAGAUUUCCAAUGACUGGGGGCUGGCAGGGCCCCUUCACCACCACCUUCCCUGAAGACACACUUUCUGGUCAGUUUUCUGAAUUCUUGGCCACUUCUUCCCUUCGUCCCCGCUGGUAGCCCCAUCAGCUCUUCUGGUUCUGUUUGUUUCACUCUGUACUAACUCCUAAGUUUCCCCAACCUUCUCUGAAUGUUCCAUAUUCACCCUUUCAUAUAGUACAACACAAUUCCAUUCUUCAAAGAGCACAGCUUGUUCAGCCACUUCCUGAGAAUCGCUGGGCAUUCGCUUUCCUUCUGGAGAUCGAGAGGAACCAGGCUGUCACAUUCACUCGCUUCUUGCAGAGGAGAGGUUGAACAUAAGCCGGGUUGUCUUGAUUGUACCUCAGGCUCGGAAAGCUCUAGCCUAGUGACAAGGACACAUCUAGUCAAAAACGCGUUGAAGUUUCCUUUUUAAAAUGAGCCCAUUCUCUUUUCUUUUCAAUCAACCUGAGGACUCAUUAAGUCAAAACAAAACCAUGCACUUAAGCAGCCAAGCAAGGCAUGUAACCAAGACAAAACAACCUCCCUCCCUCCUUUGCCACAGAUCCCAGUGUCACCGGGAGGAAGGCGACAUAAACAGUUUGGACAAUUCAUGGCCCACUUUGAACAUGUCUCUUCCUCUGAAGCUACCGUUGAUGUAAUCUGAUGGGCGGCUUUCUGCAUGGUGCUGCAGGCUCCCCGUUCUUCUUGGGGGCAGGGACUGUCCUUUUUUUCCCAUUUGUAUCCCCAACGCUCAGCACAUCUCUAUGUCCUACUUUCCAGUAACUGCUCUUUCGAAAGGUUAAUCUUGGGUGGAGGCUUCAAUCAGUCUACAGUUGGAACAGGAACGAGGCAGAGCCGAACCGCAGGGCAAAAUACCUAAACUCAGAUUUGAUGGUUUUGAGAACCGGAUUCAAGAAAUAUUUGUCAGGCUCCUGGGGGCCCUGUUCCUGACUCCCCAGCCCUCUGCCCCCAAAUAGAGGGCACUCUGCCACUUCCUGAGAUGUAAAAAGAUAGAAUCCUUGCCCUCCGAGGGGGUGAAAUGGUACACAGUCAGCACAAGAUAGAAAAGGAAUGGCAAUCCAUGGUAUUAGUCAGAUUGAACAAGAUAAGGGAGGAAGGAUGGCUAGUUCUACACACAUGACCUAUUUGAACAAGAUGCUGUAAGAAAUGGAGACUGAGAGAAACCUGAAGACUUACAUGAACUGAUGCAGAGAGGAUGAUUUGUAUUCUUAUGUCAAUAUUGUAAAAAAAGAACCAUUCUGCAAGCCUUAAAAAUUCUGACCAAGGAAAUGAUCAAUCAUGAUUCAAGAAUAAAUACUACCCAUCUCUGGAUAGAUUUGUGGAUGUUAUUUAAUUAAUUAAUUUAGAGUAUUUUUCCAAGGUUAGAUAAAUCAUGUUCUUUCCCUCCCCUUCCCUCAGCCUCCUCCCAUAGCUGACUUGCAAUUCCACUGGGUUUUACAUGUGUCAUUGAUCAAGACCUAUUUCUAUUAUUAUUGAUAUUUGCACCAGGGUGAUCAUUUAGAGUUUAUAUCCCUAAUCAUAUACCCAUCAACCUAUGUGAUCAGGCAGUUGUUUUUCUUCUGUGUUUCUGCUCCCACGGUUCUUUCUCUUAAGUCCCUCAGAAUUGUACUGGGUCAUUGCAUUGCUGCUAGUAGCAAAGUGAGUUACAUUUGAUUGUGCCACAGUGUAUCAGUCUGUGUACAAUGUUCUCCUGGUUCUGCUCCUUUCACUCUGCAUCCAUUUCUGGAGGUUGUUCCAGUCUCCAUGGAAUCCCUCCAGUUCAUUAUUCCUUUGAGCACAAUAGUAUUCCAUCACCAACAGAUACCACAAUUUGUUCAGCCAAUUGAAUUCCCCAAUUGAAGGGCAUCCCCUCAUUUUCCAAUUUUUUGCCACCACAAAGAGCACAGCUAAGAAUAGUCUUGUACAGGUCUUUUUCCUUAUUAUCUCUUUGGGGUACAAACCCAGCAAUGCUAUGGCUGGAUCAAAGGGCAGACAGUCUUUUAGCACCCUUUGGGCAUAGUUCCAAAUUGCCCUCCAGAAUGGUUGGAUCAAUUCACAACUUCACCAGCAAAUGCAUUAAUGUCCAGACUUUGCCACAUCCCCUCCAGCAUUCAUUACUUUCCUUUGCUGUCAUGUUAGCCAAUCUGCUAGGUGUGAGGUGAUACCUCAGAGUUGUUGUGAUUUGCAUUUCUCUGAUUAUAAGAGAUUUAGAACACUUCUUCAUGUGCUUAUUAAUAGUUUUGAUUUCUUUAUCUGAGAACUGCCUAUCCAUGUCCCUUGCCCAUUUAUUGAUUGGGGAAUGGCUUGAUUUUUUUUGUACAAUUAAUGUAGCUCUUUAUAAAUUUGAGUAACUAGA